UGUAGGUUUUUUGAAGCAAAGAAAUUAUUUAUUUAUUACUGAGUUCUUUGAGUUGGAAUUUGAAGCAGAAACCCUAGAAAUACAGUCCAACAAUCAAUCCCAUUAUCACAAUUCACAGUGAAUUCAAAUUUAAUCUCUCAAUCUACUUUUCACCCCUCUUAUUUUUUUCUCAAUUCCCACCCCGGAAUCAUAAUCAAUCGGCUGAAAUAAAUGGAUUCGUCGUCGAAAUUACCCAACCGCAGUUCAUCUGCUGGACCAAUGAUUCUCGUCGGCCUUCUGUUUUUCCUCACUGCAAUUUCGCGCCAGGAAAUGAGGGUUGAAGUGUGGAUACACUGAAUUCAACCAUUAUUUGUUCUCUGUGUUGAAUUUGAAUUCUGGUUUUAGCCAUUUGGAGGAUUUCGCGCCAGGAAAUGAGUGAAUUAGCGCACUUCUAAUGGGGUUCACAUUGAAUUCGAAUUUAGCUAUUUUGAGGAUUUCGGAGUGUGAAAAGUAAGAAUAUUUUCUUCACUGGUGCAGAGAUGAAUUGUUGCUGAUUUACAUGGUGUUUGUGAAAACUGGGAAGUCUUCUCUUUUUGUGCAUGUUCCGUGCUUUCUUUUUGUGAUUCAUGUUAAUAAUUACCUCAUCCAAAAGCAUAAAAUUUAACAGAGGGUAUAAUUUUUUUAUCUUGAUGACUUAAACAACAAUUGUGUAGUUGGUUUGGUUGCUUUUCAAAGUGCCUCUUGUCUACAAAAGUUAAUUUUUUCCAACAUAAUUUGCAGGAUUAGUGCAUUAGCAGUGUUGAAACUGAGUUUCUCACGGGAAAUUAAAAGGGGUAUUAUUGGAGCAUUCCGUGGUAAACAAUAUAUGAUGAACGAUGAUGAGCUCUUGGUUUCCUUCUUCGUGAGUAAGACGUCAUCCACAUCUACCGAUCGACGAGGUUUCCUCGAGUGUUCGUGAGCUCGAGAGGCCGACCCAGUAAGCCAGAGAGAGGUCCAGAGCAAACACGGCAAAAGAAUUGGUCUUCCACUAUAGAGCCAGAACAGUUUUAUCUUGGUUAAUUCAUUCAGGGGUUGUUUCCCUGAAUGAAGUAAAUUAGUUUCCAACGCACAAAGUAUAAUAACCAAAAAUGGACUCUUGUGCACAUGUUGUAACAAGACGCUCUCAAUCUCCGAUUUUGCUGCACAUGCUGGUUCAAAUUCAAAAUGGCCUUGCAUGAGUCUUUUCAUGGAAUAUGGAAAGUCAUUAAUCUUA